GAACGCGAAGAACCUUACCAGGCCUUGACAUCCCUUGCAAAGCUGUAGAGAUAGUAGAGGUUAUCAAGGAGACAGGUGGUGCAUGGUUGUCGUCAGCUCGUGUCGUGAGAUGUUGGGUUAAGUCCCGCAACGAGCGCAACCCUUGCCUUCAGUUACCAGCAUUCAGUUGGGGACUCUGGAGGGACUGCCGGUGAUAAACCGGAGGAAGGUGGGGAUGACGUCAAAUCAUCAUGCCCCUUAUGGCCUGGGCUACACACGUACUACAAUGGCUGUUACAACGUGCAGCGACCUAGCGAUAGGAAGCGAAUCACUAAAAGACAGUCUCAGUUCGGAUUGAAGUCUGCAACUCGACUUCAUGAAGCUGGAAUCGCUAGUAAUCGCGGAUCAGACAUGCCGCGGUGAAUACGUUCUCGGGUCUUGUACACACC
rnacentral:rRNA from 1 species